UACGUAGGGGGCUAGCGUUGUCCGGAAUCAUUGGGCGUAAAGCGCACGUAGGCGGCUCGUUAAGUCGGAUGUGAAAGCCCUCGGCUCAACCGAGGAAGUGCAUACGAAACUGGCGAGCUUGAAUAUGGAAGAGGGUCGCGGAAUUCCCGGUGUAGAGGUGAAAUUCGUAGAUAUCGGGAGGAACACCUGUGGCGAAAGCGGCGCACUGGACCACAACUGACGCUGAGGCGCGAAAGCUAGGGGAGCAAACAGG
rnacentral:rRNA from 1 species